AUGAGCUGCAGGCCAGUCGAGUCUCCAGUGAUGUCACUGACCAGAAAGUCUAUGAGAUCCAGGACAUCUAUGAGAACAGUUGGUCAUGGUGCUGUCUUCCUGAUUUUGUACAAAGAAUUGUACUGUAGACACAUACGUGCCAAAGUCAGUGGGGGACCUUCCUUGGAGCAGAGGUUUGAAUCUUAUGACAACGACUACAAUCUCUUCAACUACAUUCUAAUGCUGGUGGUCCUGCUCCCCUUGAACUACCCAACCAGUGGCUCUGGGAUGUCAUCGAUGAGUUCAUCUAUCAGUGUCAGUCAUUUAGCCAGUACCGCUGUAAGACCGCCAAGAAGAAGAGAUUGACUUCGUUCGUUCCUAUCCCAAAAUCUGGAACAUUCACAGUGUCCUCAAUGUCCUUCAUUCUCUGUACAAGAUGCUUGGCUACUUCACCCUGCUGGGACUUCUGUGUGUGCACUCUCUGUUGGGAGAUUACUACCAGGCCAUCAAGGUGCUGGAGAAUAUCAAACUGAACAAGAAGAGCAUGUCCUCCCGUGUACCCGAGUGCCAGGUCACCACACACGGUUAUGUUGGUUUUGCACAUUAAAUGAUGCAUCACUACCAGGAUGCCUUCUGGGUCUUUGCCAACAUCCUCCUGUACACCCAGAGGACCGAGAGCAUGUUCCAGAGGACCACCUACAAAUAUGAGAUGAUUAACAAGUAGAACGAGCAGAUGCGUGCCCUGCUGGCCAUCGCCCUCACCAUGGACCCCAUGGGGACCUAUGACAGCGUUCACCUGCAGCUGCAGAAGUAGGGGGACAAGAUGCUGCACAUGCAGAAGGGUGACCCGCAGGUCUACGAGGAGCUGUGCAGCUCUCGCUGCCCUAAGUUCCUGUCUCCUGUAGCACCCAGCUAUGACAAUGUGCACCCCAACUACCGCUUGGAGCCCUUCUUUCAGCGCUUCUUGUUCAAGGUGUUUUCUGAUGAGGUCCAGCAGCAGGCCUGGCUCUUGACCAUCCGCAGCUUCCUGCAGCUCUCCACCACCAUGCCCGUGGCCAAGCUGGCCGGCUUCCUGGACCUCACAGAGCAGGAGUUCCGGAUCCAGCUCCUUCAUUUCAAACACAAAAUGAAGAACCUGGUGUGGACCAGCGGCAUCUCCGCCCUGGACGGCGAAUUCCAGUCUGCCUCUGAGGUGGACUUCUGCAUCGAUAAGGACAUGAUCCGCCUUGCAGACACCAACACUGCCAGGUGCUAUGGGGAUUUCUUCAUCCGGCAGAUUCACACGUUUGAGGUGCUCAAUCGAACUCUGAAGAAGACGGGACAGAGACCCUGA